rnacentral:rRNA from 1 species
AGACCCGAAACCCGGUGAUCUAGCCAUGGGCAGGUUGAAGGUUGGGUAACACUAACUGGAGGACCGAACCGACUAAUGUUGAAAAAUUAGCGGAUGACCUGUGGCUGGGGGUGAAAGGCCAAUCAAACCGGGAGAUAGCUGGUUCUCCCCGAAAGCUAUUUAGGUAGCGCCUCGUGAAUUCAUCUCCGGGGGUAGAGCACUGUUUCGGCUAGGGGGCCAUCCCGGCUUACCAACCCGAUGCAAACUGCGAAUACCGGAGAAUGUUAUCACGGGAGACACACGGCGGGUGCUAACGUCCGUCGUGAAGAGGGAAACAACCCAGACCGCCAGCUAAGGUCCCAAAGUCAUGGUUAAGUGGGAAACGAUGUGGGAAGGCCCAGACAGCCAGGAUGUUGGCUUAGAAGCAGCCAUCAUUUAAAGAAAGCGUAAUAGCUCACUGGUCGAGUCGGCCUGCGCGGAAGAUGUAACGGGGCUAAACCAUGCACCGAAGCUGCGGCAGCGACACUCAGGUGUUGUUGGGUAGGGGAGCGUUCUGUAAGCCUGCGAAGGUGGCCUGUGAGGGUUGCUGGAGGUAUCAGAAGUGCGAAUGCUGACAUAAGUAACGAUAAAGCGGGUGAAAAGCCCGCUCGCCGGAAGACCAAGGGUUCCUGUCCAACGUUAAUCGGGGCAGGGUGAGUCGACCCCUAAGGCGAGGCCGAAAGGCGUAGUCGAUGGGAAACGGGUUAAUAUUCCCGUACUUGGUGUUACUGCGAAGGGGGGACGGAGAAGGCUAUGUUGGCCGGGCGACGGUUGUCCCGGUUUAAGCGUGUAGGUGUGUGUUCCAGGUAAAUCCGGU